rnacentral:lncRNA from 1 species
CAUUCUCCCGCCUCAGCCUCCCGAGUAGCUGGGACUACAGGCGCCCGCCAUCACGCCCGGCUGCUUUUUUUGUUUUAGUAGAGAGGAGGUUUCACCGUGUUAGCCAGGAUGGUCUCAAUCUCCUGACCUCGUGAUCCGCCCGCCUCGGCCUCUCAAAGUGCUGGGAUUACACGCGUGAGCCACCGCGCCUGGCCUGAAGAAAGUUAAAAGAAAAGCUUUUUGAAUGAAUCACUUCUCAUCUUCUCCGAAGUUGGAAGCAUCAAGAAUCUAAAUAAGCAUUUAUGAUGGCUGGCAUGAAUAUACAGGUGAAGACAGAACAAGAAAACAAACCAAGAAUUUCCCCUCACCAGCCACCAGCUCUGCCAGCAACUUGAUCUUAGACUUCCCAGCCUCCGUAACGCCUCUGCUUAUAAUCUGUCAUGGAUUGGAAAACUAGAAAAAACAGUUUACAGAGUAUAACAAACUUUGGAGGAGUUAAUCGACUCUAAGUAAAAGAGUAUCUAGCACGGCUGUGGAACAAAGGAGAGACUCACAAACUGUUGAAAGAAUAAAUGAAUGAAUGAAUUCUGUUCAUGAGCUUUAAUAAAACAGCUCUGAGUAGUAACAGUGGAUCAAAUUUAGGCUUCUUGAUGCAGGCAUGGUGUAGAUUACUACUUCUGUAUUGUCCCAGGAGCUCAGCACAUUCCUGCAGAGAUGAUAGGAGCUCAUCUGAUACUUGUCAGCUUUGAAUAAACUCCAGUCCCCAAGAGAGAGAAUGAGAAUCACCGGAAUACGAAACUUCCCUGUUGGACUUCCCAACAUUCUUGAAUGCACCAAGAUAGCCUCUUGCUGUGAGAUUAAUAAAUGAAUAAAUGCCUCCAUAUUUUUCAAA